UGGGGAAUCUUGCGCAAUGGGCGAAAGCCUGACGCAGCGACGCCGCGUGAGGGAAGAAGGCCUUCGGGUUGUAAACCUCUUUCAGGAGGGACGAAGCCACUCGGGUUAACAGCCCAGAGGGUGACGGUACCUCCAGAAGAAGCCCCGGCUAACUACGUGCCAGCAGCCGCGGUAAUACGUAGGGGGCUAGCGUUGUCCGGAUUUAUUGGGCGUAAAGAGCGUGUAGGCGGCCAGGUAGGUCUGCUGUGAAAACUCGAGGCUCAACCUCGAGACGUCGGCGGAAACCAUCUGGCUAGAGUCCGGAAGAGGAGAGUGGAAUUCCUGGUGUAGCGGUGAAAUGCGCAGAUAUCAGGAAGAACACCCGUGGCGAAGGCGGCUCUCUGGGACGGUACUGACGCUGAGACGCGAAAGCGUGGGGAGCGAACAGG
rnacentral:rRNA from 1 species